UAGAGUACUAAGCUAACAUAUCCUUUUGUUUUGUCUAUGAAGAAUUAUGCGACUGUGCCAAGCUCGAUCCAUAACCAUUUGAGGAAUUGGACUCUUUAUCUCAAGGUGAAACAAAUGUUGAACUCUCUUCAUCAUCCUCUAAAGGUACGACCAUUAGGGGGGAAGUUUACUUCUUUCCUCUGUUUUGUUCUCUUAUCAUUUGUUUCCACUAGUUUCUGAAGAUACAUUAAAAAAACAUACAUGAGAAGGUGUACGUGGACAGAUCAAGAAGAAUGGAGAGCUUCUACGUUAACUAUGACCAAUCAUCUGGAUCUGGACUCUAAUUCAAAAAUGAGUAGUUGUUCUGAUAAAAUCGACAUCUUGAAAGUUUCAUAAAAUCAGUGUAUAUAUUGAGUUAUUGAUUUGUAAUUGACUUAUAGUGGAUCAAAAAUUCAUGUUAACAAGAAGAAAAUACACUUUAAGGUUCUAAUAAUAUUAUUUGGUAAAA